rnacentral:rRNA from 1 species
GCGAAAACUUUACAAUGCUGGCAACAGCGAUAAGGGAACCUCGCGUGCCAGGUUACAAAUCUGGCUGUCGAGAUGCCUAAAAAGCAUUUCAUAGCAAGGGCCGGGCAAGACCGGAGCCAGCCGCAGCGGUAACACCGGCGGCUCGAGAGGUAACCGUUAUCAUUGGGUCUAAAGGGUCUGUAGCCGGCCGGAUAAGUCCCUUGAGAAAUCUGGCCGCUUAACUGUCAGGCUUUCAGGAGAUACUGUCUGGCUCGAGGCCGGGAGAGGUGUGAGGUACUUCAGGGGUAGUGGUGAAAUCUUGUGAUCCUUGAAGGAGCACCAGUGGCGAAGGCGGCUCACCAGAACGGACCUGACGGCGAGGGACGAAAGCUAGGGGCACAAACC